GUACAUCUACUAGGUUCGUAUGUAGAUCUACUAGGUUCGUAUGUAGAUCUACUAGGUUUGUAUGUAGAUCUACUAGGUUUGUAUGUAGAUCUACUAGGUUUGUAUGUAGAUCUACUAGGUUUGUAUGUAGAUCUACUAGGUUCGUAUGUAGAUCUACUAGGUUCGUAUGUAGAUCUACUAGGUUCGUAUGUAGAUCUACUAGGUUCGUAUGUAGAUCUACUAGGUUCGUAUGUAGAUCUACUAGGUUCGUAUGUAGAUCUACUAGGUUCGUAUGUAGAUCUACUAGGUUCGUAUGUAGAUCUACUAGGUUCGUAUGUAGAUCUACUAGGUUCGUAUGUAGAUCUACUAGGUUCGUAUGUAGAUCUACUAGGUUCGUAUGUAGAUCUACUAGGUUCGUAUGUAGAUCUACUAGGUUCGUAUGUAGAUCUACUAGGUUCGUAUGUAGAUCUACUAGGUUCGUAUGUAGAUCUACUAGGUUCGUAUGUAGAUCUACUAGGUUCGUAUGUAGAUCUACUAGGUUCGUAUGUAGAUCUACUAGGUUCGUAUGUAGAUCUACUAGGUUCGUAUGUAGAUCUACUAGGUUCGUAUGUAGAUCUACUAGGUUCGUAUGUAGAUCUACUAGGUUCGUAUGUAGA